rnacentral:rRNA from 1 species
AACGCGAAGAACCUUACCUACCCUUGACAUGCCAGGAAGCCCGCUGAGAGGUGGGUGUGCCCGAAAGGGAGCCUGGACACAGGUGCUGCAUGGCUGUCGUCAGCUCGUGUCGUGAGAUGUUGGGUUAAGUCCCGCAACGAGCGCAACCCUUGUCACUAGUUGCUACGCAAGGGCACUCUAGUGAGACUGCCGGUGACAAACCGGAGGAAGGUGGGGAUGACGUCAAGUCCUCAUGGCCCUUAUGGGUAGGGCUUCACACGUCAUACAAUGGCGCAUACAAAGGGCUGCCAACCCGCGAGGGGGAGCCAAUCCCAGAAAGUGCGUCGUAGUCCGGAUUGCAGUCUGCAACUCGACUGCAUGAAGUCGGAAUCGCUAGUAAUCGCGGAUCAGCAAUGUCGCGGUGAAUACGUUCCCGGGUCUAGUACACACCG